rnacentral:rRNA from 1 species
UCGGGAACAUUGCGCAAUGGAGGAAACUCUGACGCAGUGACGCCGCGUGCAGGAAGAAGGUUUUCGGAUUGUAAACUGCUUUAGACAGGGAAGAAAAAAGACAGUACCUGUAGAAUAAGCUCCGGCUAACUACGUGCCAGCAGCCGCGGUAAUACGUAGGGAGCAAGCGUUAUCCGGAUUUAUUGGGUGUAAAGGGUGCGUAGACGGGAAGACAAGUUAGUUGUGAAAUCCCUCGGCUUAACUGAGGAACUGCAACUAAACUAUCAUUCUUGAGUGCUGGAGAGGAAAGUGGAAUUCCUAGUGUAGCGGUGAAAUGCGUAGAUGUUAGGAGGAACACCAGUGGCGAAGGCGACUUUCUGGACAGUAACUGACGUUGAGGCACGAAAGUGUGGGGAGCAAACAGGAUUAGAUACC